GGUUUACAGCCUCUCCAACACCGCUGCUCUGGCUGCUCCAGAGCCUCGGGACAAGCACCACGCUCGGAUUUAUCAGCAAAACCAGCAGCUCCUGCUCAGCGUGGUGCAAAGUCCGCUGAAGACACUGAGCAUCUCUGCACUGACCUCAGUCACCUUCGGAAAAAAUGCACAGAAAUAUCAGCACAGUGUGCCAGCAGGGAGACACCAGAGGAAUGCAGCUCUCUUCUGAAAAUAAAGGAAAAGCUCCAGCCUCUUUUCUCGUGUGAGGAGCAAAGCAAAGGCUCCCAGCGAAAGCUGAAGGUGCAACCCUGAAGAGAUGAGCGUGGGAGGACAUUUCUGCCUGAGCAGAAUCCCACUGGAGCCUCGGUUAAAAUUACAACUUUGUUUUCUUCCAUCUGGGAUUUCACAGUUCCUUCUGGAAAUGAAUGUGGGCAGCAGAACACCGGCUCUGCACUACACUCAGCACCAACACCUCCAUGAAUCUCUUUAAGGGUCUCCUCAGGACACCAGUUCUCCGUAAGAUUCCCAAACCAGCUUGGCCACAAGGAUUGUUCUAAGGCUGGAACUUCACAGUCCUCUUAACAGGCAUCACGUUGAACCGUAUUUUUCUCCAGAAAGAUAAAAGCUUUGAAGAGAAAUUAUCUAAUUUUGGUUGACCUCCCGUUCUCAAUUCAAGGGCAAGCGGUACUGAAGUCGAAAUCAUUUCCAUAAGUGAAUUGCAGAGCAGUCAUUUAACAAUUAAUAAGCAAUCCACUCAGCAUAUGGAAACCGAAUAGGUAAAUAAAUACAUGAGAAUCAGAGAUACCUCUGCACAAAGAAAGGCCUCAGCUCCUCCGCAUCAGAUAUUUAAUUGGUCGUCUCUUUCUUUUUCUCAUCGCGAACAAGAGGAGAAGGCGGCAAUGAAACAUAAAAGACCUUAAUCACUUCUCCUGAGGAAAAUGGAGAUGAUGUGAGUUGCUCAUUUAGCUUUCUGCGCCUUUAAAGCAGUGAAUCUCAUUUUUUUUAUUAUUCUCCACCACAGCAACCUUUCCUUUUCGGCCUGCACGCAGAGUCUGGACACCAGCCUUCAGCAGAGCGGGCACGUGUCGCGUCAGGGUAAAUCCGCAACGCCGCAGCCCAUUUCUCCUGCAUCAGGGAGAUGUCACAUUUGGGACUGCCUCCCCUUGGCUGAUGUAAGGUCGCCGCUCUGUGAGAAACAGAACGUGUUGCACCUCCUCCCCAUCACCCUAAAGAUGUCCUGCUGGGAGAGCAAGCUAAGCAGCCAGGACUUGGCCUCGUGGACCUCAUCCUGGCCAUGAGGGCACGGGGACAGCACUCCCCGCCUUCUCCCUGCAGCUCCUGAGUGGGAGAAGUCACGUAGCAGCUCUCAGAUGAGAGAGACCUGCGUGCUGCUGUGAUUUCAGGCACGGAGGUGAGGUGGAGAACAGCAUUACACAACUCUAAGCCACCCCUCCUUAAAGAAACAGGGAAGGGGAGGAUGAUGCGCCAUGCCAAAUGCUGCUGCUGCCUGCUUUUAGACAGCUGGCCUGAAGUGGAGCUACAGUAAAAGCUGGGAGUGGACCUGUGUCCCUAAAAUCCAUGUGCUUCUUCUCUUUUCAAGCAUCAAAACACUGCGCAGGAUUUUUAACCCCGGCAAUCCUAGGGGUUUGUACCCAUGGCUGUUCUUUCUGCUGCCCUCUCGACCAAAAGGUGCUAACAGAGGCAGCAUUGUGAUAAAAAUACCUGGGUUUGGUUGGAAUAUCUUGCUUUUCAAACAGCCCUGCCUCCCUGGAAGGGAAGCCCUUACCUGAGGAAGGGCUGGGAGGUAGCUUUGGAUUAUUUGGAGGGCCUGCACAUAAAGGCAAAAUGCCAGUGAGAACAGGGAAUGUCUGCCUGCCUUCCCUUCCUGCCUCCAGCAUUUUCACGUCUCUCCGAACCCUGCUAAUGCCUACUACAUCUUUCCAUGUCUUUUACAUCUUUCUUUAAGGUUAGCACACAGGAGUUAGCACGCAGUUUGCGGCGGCGAUAAACAAUUCCAUUUUCA